UAAUGUACAGAUGAGCUCUAUUACAUGACCGUAUUUUCUAUGACAUUUGGAAUGUCCUUUUUCAUCGACAUCUUUAGGAAUCGGAACUCCUGCGGACACGGGUGAUCGGAAGGAUUUGCGACAGGCUAACUGUAUAAAUGCGCCUACAAGCAAGGAACCUGCCAAAUGAGCAGGAAGAUAAUGGUGUAAAAACAAUUGACGACCCAUGAUAAAGAAUGGAAGAUAAUGAAAGACAUAAGUCAUGUAGAAAAACAUAGUGGAACGGUAAAAGUGGUUACGGACAGUUUCAGGUAAAGUACGAAUACCUCUUUGGCGAAGCAAAAUUUCAGCUGCAGCGACCACCGUCGUACUCAAAACAGUACCGGCAAUGAUCCACCAACCGAUAGGAUUUCCCAAUAAAUAUAUUUGCUUGUUUUCCUCACUUUUAGCCCAAAACGCAAUACCGUGGUGCAAAGUAAACCAAUCAGAAGGAUUAGAACUGUAUGGAUGAAACUCGGUUAACAUAUUAUUUUGUCUAAACAUUGUGAGUUGUAGCUCCAAAUAUUUUUUCCAAAAUGGUAGUUUUUUAGGAAUUUUUUUUUCCUUCUUCAAUCGGCUAUCUUUAAGUCCGAUAAUAUCAUCGAAUGUCCAGAAAAUUGACCCAGUUUGAAUGUUUUUAGCACCAUUGAUUUCUAGCUGUUUAAAUGCCCAAUCUGGAAGUGGCUUUGGAUCAGACCACAUAGCCACAUGAGUGAGUUUAUGGAUCAAUUUGAAAGAAGAAGCUUUGGUAUAUAAAGGUCGCUGAGGAUCAGUAUUAUCACUCAUAACCACUUGAAACAACGUGUACUCAUGUUUUUUCCCAGCAGAUUCAUCUACACUAACUGUAGUAAAUUCUUCAUUAGUAGGAUGGUAUGGGGAAGCAACGUCAUGAGUCAUCAAAUCAGUAUUAGUACCAACGUGAUGGAGUUUAAUAUAGUCCAUAUUUUUCACGGGUACAUUAAGUUUGGCUUCAAUGGGGGGAUCGUAGUGAUCAGCAGGAAGGAUCAUCCAGUAAUUGUUUUCAUCGUCAAAUUGAUAUCCGGUUACUUGUUGUCCACCAGAAGAAAUACGACCAUCGUCAUAAGGAAUAGGGUAUUUUUCAGGAUGAGAAUGAAGAAAUGCGUUCGUUCCCAUGUGUUUAAUAGUGACAAUAUCAUAAUAAU